rnacentral:rRNA from 1 species
AGGGUUUGUGUCAUCGGGCGGCAACGCCUCGACGCCGCCACGCCGCGUGAGCGAUGAAGGCCUUCGGGUUGUAAAGCCCUUUCGGCGGGACGAAAAUGACGGUACUGGAAGAAGAAGCUGCGGCUAACUCCGUGCCAGCAGCCGCGGUAAUAACU